rnacentral:tRNA from 1 species
ACCUGGCUGGCUCAGUUGGUAGAGCAUGAGACUCUUGAUCUUGAGGUCGUGAGUUCAAGCCCCACAUUGGGCC